AAAGUUCAGGGCAUGGAGUGCUUUUUUUUUUAAAAGGGCGUCUUCUACCUUCAUUUGAACAUUGGUCGAGGACAGCAAAGAGGUCCUCAGAUAAGGGCAACGCCCUCCCUGUAUGGAGAGAUAGAAGAAAAAGAAAUUGUUUAUACUACUUAUUCAGCUGAGGAACUCAACAUAGUUUUUGCGUUGAAUCAUAGAAUGUUACAGCUGCUGACUUUUCACUGCAUACCGACUUGAUUUGUCCCAUUUUUUUUCUCACCAAGAGCAUUUAUUAUACCUUCCCCUACCGAAAUUUUUCAAAAAGAAAACUUUUUAAGAGCUGGGCGCUGUGGCUCACACCUGUAAUCCCAGCACUUCGGGAGGCCGUGGGGGGGCGGAUCAUGAGGUCAGGAGAUCGAGACCAUCCUGGCCAACAUGGUGAAACCCUGUCUCUACUAAAAAUACAAAAAUUAGUUGGGUGUGGUGGUGGGCGCCUGUAAUCCCAGUUACUCGAGAGCCUGAGGCUGAACCCGGGAGGCAGAGGUUGCAGUGAGCCAAGAUCACACCACUGCACUCCAGCCUGGUGACAGAGCAAGACUCUGUCUCAAAAAAAAAAAAGAAAAGAAAACUUUUUAAUGCCGUUAUCAUAGUAGUAGUGGCGCAGUCUGGCCCUAGAGCCAGGUGUCUGCUGGCCUCUCCUGCUUUUCUCUCUCCUCCCUUGCUGGAAAGAGUGCAGAGAGUAGACUUGAACCCUGUCAUUUUGCUGCUGGAUGGUCAGAGUACAGAUCUCAAAGCAAGGCUUGUUGGACAAAUAAAUGAAGAUGAGCCCAAGAGCCCAGGAGAGGGACCGGGAACAGCAGGGCCUCCGUGACUCACACAAGCUUCAUCCCUGAACCAAGGACGCAGCCUGCCAACAAUGGCCCCAAGCCACACCCCGCCACAGGGGGAACUGAUGCUGCGGUGAGAAGUGACAGCUUUCUGUUGACUCUUUUUUUUUUCAAGCAGAAUAUGAAUUGAGACAUACUUUCAUUUUCAUAAUCAGAACCUAACACUUAGUAACCAAUGUUGGUGGAAGCAAAUGAGAUCACAGUUUGUCUGUUCCAAACUCAUCUCUGGGAAAAGGAGGAGGAAAAAUUAUUGGCACUAUGUUCAGAAUCAUAGCUGAAGAUGCAGAAAUUGUUCAUCCCAAUUUUGCCUUUGUAAGUAAUGUGGGGGCAGUUCUUAUUAGUAAUUGCCAAUCUCUACUGAGACACAGUAUUUUGCUAGGCGCUUUAUAUUCAUUUCCUGGUAUGAUCAUGACAUUAACCCUGUGAAAUGCGUACCCUUACUAUCUCCAUGUGAAGAAAUGAGGGAACUGAGGACCAGAGAGGUGAACUGACUUGUCCAAAGACACACAGUAAGGGCUGUGACUCUCCGCUUUCUAAGAUUUUUGUUCUUAUCGCUCCACAGCACAUAGCAGGCGUAGUAUGAAGGCAGCAUGCUGCACAAUUUCGCUGUUUGUUUCUUGGAAUAAUAAUUUAUAGGGGACUGCUUCUAGAUUCCAAAGGAAAGAGAAAGGAAAUAUGCCCCAAACUCAGGCUUUCAGCCUGGCCCUGCCUGACUCACUGAGCUGCAUUGGACAAAUGAUUCAUUCACUGGCCUUGACCUCAGUGGGUUUGGCCACCCAUUGAGAGUGAAGUCACACCUCCAGCACUGCGAUGCAUUUAUUGAUCCACUCACCUAGCUUCAUGGCAGGCAAGAAACAGGCCUGUGUGAGCCUGCCCAGGAUCAGGGACAGGAGAGCACACAGGUGUUUCUGGAUAUCCUCAAGCUGUAGCUGGGCUGCUCGAUUCUUCCCUAGGAGAUCCUCCGGGGGCCUGAAUUAGUUUGCUAGGGCUUCCGUAACAAAGCGCCACAGACUGAGCGGCUUAAAUAAAAAUGUGUCAUCUCAUGGUUCUGGAGGCUGGAAGUCUGAGAUCAAGGUGCUGGGGAUUAGGACUUGAACAUAUGUUUUUUGGGGGCACACUUCAACCCUCCGGAGGGCCUGUGCCCCAAAGAGAGCCUCCUUCUGUGUGCAGUGAAGGUGUGAGUUCUAAACAUGAGAAAAAAACACCCCUUGUUCUUGGAUAGGGUGACUCGAUACCACAAGCAGGUCCAACUGGCCCAGGUAAAUAUAUUCGUUUAACAUGAUCGUCACCAAAAUAUUGAGGGUAGGUGUUUUUUUCUGGAGUUAAACAAGUUGAUUCUGGAGUUGAUAUGAAAUAAUAAACAAGCAAAAAUAGCCAGAAUUGUUUUUUUUAAAAAAGGGCAAUGGGGUGGAGGUAAGCCCUACCAGACAUUAAAACACAUCAUAAAGCUUCUGUAAUUGGCAGGGCACAGUGGCUCAUGCCUGUAACCCCAGCACUUUGAGAGGCUGUGAUGGGAGGAUUGCUUGAGCCCAGGAGUUUCAGACCAGCCUGAGCAACAUAGCGAGACUCCAUCUCUACAAAAAUAAAAAAUUAAAAGUUAGCUAAGUGUGGUGGUGUGCACUCGUAAUCUCAGCUAUUCCAGAAGUUGAGGUGGAAGGCUUGCUUAAGCCAAGGAAUCUGAGGCUGCAUUGAGCCAUGAUCACACCACUGCACUCCAGCCUGGGGGAUGGAGUGAGA
rnacentral:lncRNA from 10 species